rnacentral:tRNA from 2 species
UCCCUGGUGGUCUAGUGGCUAGGAUUCGGCGCUUUCACCGCCGCGGCCCGGGUUUGAUUCCCGGUCAGGGAC